rnacentral:rRNA from 1 species
CUUCUGAAUGUUGACCUCGGAUU